CAUCUACGGAGAGUUUGAUCCUGGCUCAGGACGAACGCUGGCGGCGUGCUUAACACAUGCAAGUCGAACGCUGAACCCCGCUUGCGGGGGGAUG
rnacentral:rRNA from 1 species